CUGUGCCCGGCUCCGGGAUGGAGACUUGGAUCUGCUUGGCUCCCAACCAGCCGCCCCCACGUCUCCCUCCUCCUCCCCCUCCUCCUCCUCAUCCUUUCCCUCUUCAUUCUCCUCCCCUCCUUCCUUCCCACCCCUCCCUCCCCCCUCCUCCUCCUCCGCUCCCAUUCCUUACAGCUGUGCUCAUCUAAGGGGAAAUUUCCAAAACCCCUUGCGCAAUGCCUUCUUGAAUCUCUGGGCAGAGGAUCGCCAGAGGCUGAACCCACCCCCAGGGGCCAUCCCCAGGGGCCACCCCCGGAGGUCGUAGCCAGGGGCCACCCCAAGGGACCACCCCCCACCGGAUCCCACAGCCAGGGCCCACCUCUAGAGCCCAUCCCCAGGGCCACCCCCAGAGUCCACCUCUAGAGACCACCCCCAGAUCCCGGCCAUUCAGGGUUCCAGUCUUUGAUUCCGGGACGCCCCCCGCCCCCUGCCCCUCUCUUUUCCAGGGACCCCGCUAAGGCAGGCAGGCUACGGAGCGCCGGGCAUCGUGGGCACCUCCAGGCACCGUGAGCACCGCUGGCCUCGCUGGCAGCCCGGAGAGCCUCCCCGGUCCCGGCUCCUCCUCCGGCCCCUCCUCCCGUCCCUCCUCCCGUCCCUCCUCCCGUCCCUCCUCCCGUCCCUCCCCCGGCCUCGUCGUCCCGGGCAUCGUGCCUUCCCAUCCGGAGGCACCGGAGGGAGCGGCGCGGCCAGGACCGGCUCCGGACGGCCCGUUCUCCGGGGACCCCCCUGCCCUCCCAUCGUUGCCCUCCCUCCUCUGCCCUCCUUCCCUCCUCCCAACCCAGGACCUGCCCAGGAAUCAGGAGGCCGAGGCGGAGGGCAUGGGCCGGUGCCCCCGGGCAGGGCGGGGCGGGCAGCGGGCGGGGCAGGGGCAGGGGGCGACCCCACCCCUCCCCGCCCCCGGCCCCCGGCCCCACCUCUGCUGAACCCCGGCUGCCCCGGACCCCUCCUCCGCCCGGGACGGCCGAACAGAGGGCAUCUCAAAAACUCACAGAGAAGGGAUCUUCCGGGCGGCGACGGAGUUGGCAGGAUCACCAGAGAUCACGAUGUGCAGAGUGGAGAUGCCCCGGCCCCUGCCGGGAAGGCUGAGCAGACUGGCAGCUUCGCCCAGCUCUUCCCAUGGGAGAUGAAAUGUUUUAAGCCAAGACUGUGAACUGCCCCCAUCGGUCUUCCGGCACGUUGGCUCACACCAGCUCGCCUCCGUUAGCUGCGGGCCGAGGCUGCUGAGAACUAGUGUAGGGAAGCCAUCUGAGCAGAGUUUGGGAAGAUCCGUCACCUUCAUUCUCCCACACGCGGGGGAGCGAGAGUCUGCCCAGCGUGAAGGACAGAGCGUCAGAGAGAACGUGAAUAAGUAAACUCAUAGAAGAACACCAGAUUAUUCCCCGUGUGCCAGUGAUCACCCUUUGAAUGUAUCGAUACCGCUUUCGGAACCGGCAUCACAUUCCCGGUGCCAGGAAUGACUUUCCGACCGGGAACCGGGAGACGAUCUUUUCACGAAAGACGGAUGUGUAACAAUGGCGGUUAAUUUCGAACCGGAACUGUAGGGAGGAAAAGGCGAGAUUCAUUUUCCAUCGCUGCGCUAACCGUGUCGGCGACUAUCUGAGCCCUGACCGGUCAGCUCGACGGAGGCGCCGGUGGCUCUAGCACCUCGAAAACUUGGUGGCCGUGGAGUCAGGCUGGGCUGACCCCGAGAUAGAAAGGCCUUUUUCCCCAUCCCAGGGGCUGCGUGUGUUCCUUUUGAGCCACCUGAGCCUCUGCCAGAGCUCACCCGGUAAACGCCGGAGUCGUCGUUCUGCACAAGCCUAAAAGGUUCAUUUUCCAGUAACGGGAUGGACGAGGGUGACGUGCACCGUAUCUGACCCGUGGGCCUGAAGGG
rnacentral:lncRNA from 1 species